GGAGUAGGAUAUAUACUGUGAGAAAUAGUGUUACAAACAAAUUACAUACUUGGUAAAACUUUGCUGCCUUUUGUUUUGGUUCAAAUGCACUACGCGUGGCAAUACUCGGUAUUGUUUAUAGUCAUGAAAUUGUUUUUACCCAGCCAAUGACGUCAGAUAAUGUAUUUUGAGGCAUAAAUUAGCAUACGCGCUUAUUUUCAAAAUGGCGGACAACUGUUGAACUUUCUAUCAAAUUUUCUCAACAACUAAACGCGACAAACCGGCCAAAAUAUAAAAUUAGAUAUUCCGCAAGUAUACCAAAGAGAUAUAAGUAAUAAAAAUUUUGGGUGCCAAUGUCCUUUAA